AGAGUUUGAUCCUGGCUCAGGACGAACGCUGGCGGCGUGCCUAAUACAUGCAAGUCGAGCGGACCGGAUUGGGGCUUGCCUUGAUUCGGUCAGCGGCGGACGGGUGAGUAACACGUGGGCAACCUGCCCGCAAGACCGGGAUAACUCCGGGAAACCGGAGCUAAUACCGGAUAACACCGAAGACCGCAUGGUCUUUGGUUGAAAGGCGGCCUUUGGGCUGUCACUUGCGGAUGGGCCCGCGGCGCAUUAGCUAGUUGGUGAGGUAACGGCUCACCAAGGCGACGAUGCGUAGCCGGCCUGAGAGGGUGACCGGCCACACUGGGACUGAGACACGGCCCAGACUCCUACGGGAGGCAGCAGUAGGGAAUCUUCCGCAAUGGGCGAAAGCCUGACGGAGCGACGCCGCGUGAGCGAAGAAGGCCUUCGGGUCGUAAAGCUCUGUUGUGAGGGACGAAGGAGCGCUGUUCGAAGAGGGCGGCGCGGUGACGGUACCUCACGAGAAAGCCCCGGCUAACUACGUG
rnacentral:rRNA from 1 species